rnacentral:rRNA from 1 species
UGAGGAAUAUUGGUCAAUGGGCGAGAGCCUGAACCAGCCAAGUAGCGUGCAGGAUGACGGCACUAUGGGUUGUAAACUGCUUUUAUGUGGGGAUAAAGUGCGUGACGUGUCAUGCAUUGCAGGUACCACAUGAAUAAGGACCGGCUAAUUCCGUGCCAGCAGCCGCGGUAAUACGGAAGGUCCGGGCGUUAUCCGGAUUUAUCGGGUUUAAAGGGAGCGUAGGCUGUCUAUUAAGCGUGUUGUGAAAUUUACCGGCUCAACCGGUGGCUUGCAGCGCGAACUGGUCGACUUGAGUAUGCAGGAAGUAGGCGGAAUUCAUGGUGUAGCGGUGAAAUGCUUAGAUAUCAUGACGAACUCCGAUUGCGCAGGCAGCUUACUGUAGCAUAACUGACGCUGAUGCUCGAAAGUGCGGGUAUCAAACAGG